rnacentral:tRNA from 1 species
UGCGGGAUGGAGCAGUUGGCAGCUCGUUGGGCUCAUAUCCGCCAAAUGGCGGACGUAGGUUCAAGUCCUGCUCCCGCUA